rnacentral:rRNA from 1 species
UACGAAGGGGGCUAGCGUUGCUCGGAAUUACUGGGCGUAAAGCGCACGUAGGCGGCUUCUUAAGUCGGUGGUGAAAUCCUGGAGCUCAACUCCAGAACUGCCUUCGAUACUAGGAGCUCGAGUCCGGGAGAGGUGAGUGGAACUGCGAGUGUAGAGGUGAAAUUCGUAGAUAUUCGCAAGAACACCAGUGGCGAAGGCGGCUCACUGGCCCGGUACUGACGCUGAGGUGCGAAAGCGUGGGGAGCAAACAGGG